UUGACUUCUGAUUGCUAUAGUAAAUACUGAAAAUGUCUCUUUUAAAUCCUGGAGCACUUUCUUGACCACUUAAAGAUGAAUAAUGGGUGAGGGUGCACCAAAGAAACCCCAUUUUGUAGCUAGUGAAAAGAGUCUUUGGUGGUGAAGACAUGAUAGCCAGCUUUUCUGAAAUUCUUUUUCCUGAUAUACCAUAUAGCACAUAUCAGCACGUGAUAGUGAUGAAGCUCGUCAUACCCCAGGUCUUGCAGUAAAUCCACAGAUGUUUCCUACAGCAGGGUAUGGUAGUCCCAGACAUUCACUUUUUUUUUUCUUCUAUGAGAGUUCAUUCAGAUCACAGAACUGUGUCUGACAUUUCUUAAUUCCUGCAGAUAAAGUUACUGUCAAAGUAACAGAUUUAGACACAAUUAUUGUUAUGGAUGUCCUCAGAAUAUUUGGGUUUAAAAUCAAUGGAAACAUUAAUCUGUCAAGGAAGCCUGAAUUUAUCAACCUGCAUUUUUUGCAAAUUCUUUUUAUUUAACAUCUCUAAACAUGCUAAAUAAAUAUGAAAAAAGAGAUAUGCAUUCAA